rnacentral:rRNA from 1 species
GACGAACCGUGCGAACGUUGUUCGGAAUCACUGGGCUUAAAGGGCGCGUAGGCGGCCGGCCGCGUCCGGGGUGAAAGCCCGCGGCUCAACCGCGGAACGGCCUCGGGUACGGGUCGGCUGGAGGAGGGUAGGGGCGGGCGGAACGGUGCGUGGAGCGGUGAAAUGCGUUGAUAUGCACCGGAACUCCGGUGGCGAAGGCGGCCCGCUGGACCCUUACUGACGCUGAGGCGCGAAAGCCAGGGGAGCGAACGGG